UGAGAACAUGUGGGCUGAAGUCGCACUGUGGCAGAGAGGGCAAAAUUAAAUCAAGGUCUCCUUGAUCCUGAGAACAUCAGCUCACUUGGCAUUGAUGAGAACACCACACCGUGAUUCUCCACCCCCAGUCAAAAAGGACUUGUUCUUGCACAGCUUUUGAAAGGAAGAGUUUGGCACCUUUGCAUUCUGGGCAAUGGAUGGAGGCUGAGCUUCAAAUAUUGCUGAAGAGAAUACAGAGCCAGUGAAGAGUCAACCCAUAUCAGGUGGAAGCAUAAAAUAUACAGAGCCAAAUGUUUCAAGGAGAGUCUGUAUCUCCUUCAUCACUGCUUGCCAGGCACAGCCCACAUAGUCCCUGUGGCAUCAAGCUGCAGAAGCAGGUCUGACAUCCGCAUGUUCUGCAGAGCAGGUAGCAAGACAAAGCAUAAGGUCAGUGAG